rnacentral:rRNA from 1 species
GAUGAACGCUAGCGGCGUGCCUAAUACAUGCAAGUCGAGCGAAUGGAUUAAGAGCUUGCUCUUAUGAAGUUAGCGGCGGACGGGUGAGUAACACGUGGGUAACCUGCCCAUAAGACUGGGAUAACUCCGGGAAACCGGGGCUAAUACCGGAUAACAUUUUGAACCGCAUGGUUCGAAAUUGAAAGGCGGCUUCGGCUGUCACUUAUGGAUGGACCCGCGUCGCAUUAGCUAGUUGGUGAGGUAACGGCUCACCAAGGCAACGAUGCGUAGCCGACCUGAGAGGGUGCUCGGCCACACUGGGACUGAGACACGGCCCAGACUCCUACGGGAGGCAGCAGUAGGGAAUCUUCCGCAAUGGACGAAAGUCUGACGGAGCAACGCCGCGUGAGUGAUGAAGGCUUUCGGGUCGUAAAACUCUGUUGUUAGGGAAGAACAAGUGCUAGUUGAAUAAGCUGGCACCUUGACGGCACCUAACCAGAAAGCCACGGCUAACUACGUGCCAGCCGCCGCAGUAA